ACGAACCGUCCAAACGUUAUUCGGAAUUACUGGGCUUAAAGGGUGCGUAGGCGGCCCGGGAAGUUGGGUGUGAAAUCCCUCGGCUUAACCGAGGAAUUGCGCCCAAAACUGCCGGGCUUGAGGGAGAUAGAGGUGAGCGGAACUUAGGGUGGAGCGGUGAAAUGCGUUGAUAUCCUAAGGAACACCGGUGGCGAAAGCGGCUCACUGGGUCUCUUCUGACGCUGAGGCACGAAAGCUAGGGUAGCGAACGGGAUUAGAUACCCCGGUAGUCCUAGCCCUAAACGAUGAGCACUAGAUCGAAGGACAUUCCAUAGUCUUUUGGUCGAAGCGAAAGUGUUAAGUGCUCCGCCUGGGGAGUAUGGUCGCAAGGCUG
rnacentral:rRNA from 1 species